rnacentral:rRNA from 1 species
UGGGGAAUUUUGCACAAUGGGCGCAAGCCUGAUGCAGCCAUGCCGCGUGUAUGAAGAAGGCCUUCGGGUUGUAAGUACUUUCAGCGGGGAGGAAAGGAGUAAAGUUAAUACCUUUGCUCAUUGACGUUACCCGCAGAAGAAGCACCGGCUAACUCCGUGCCAGCAGCCGCGGUAAUACGGAGGGUGCAAGCGUUAAUCGGAAUUACUGGGCGUAAAGCGUACGCAGGCGGUUUGUUAAGUCAGCUGUGAAAUCCCCGGGCUCAACCUGGGAACUGCAUCUGAUACUGGCAAGCUUGAGUCUCGUAGAGGGGGGUAGAAUUCCAGGUGUAGCGGUGAAAUGCGUAGAGAUCUGGAGGAAUACCGGUGGCGAAGGCGGCCCCCUGGACGAAGACUGACGCUCAGGUGCGAAAGCGUGGGGAGCAAACAGG